AGAGGGAAAAUCACUUUCAUCUGGAGAAGCUCGUCCGUUAACACGGGGCGGCCCAUCUGCAGGUCCCCGCUGUUCCUAAAAGAAAGAUUAAGGAUUUGAGUUGGCCUGACGGAGAGAUCUUCCAGGCGGCUCCGGCCCAUGGAGGAUGCAGAGCAUCACAUCAGAUCAAACAUUGAUAAACCAGUACUUUACCAGCGUUUUAUCAAUAUCUUUAAAGGACGGGGAGUUUUUGCCACUGAAUUCAUAUCCAAAGGAGACUUUGUUGUGGAGUACCGAGGUGAACUGCUUACACAACAGGAGGGCGAGGUCCGAGCUGAUCAGUACAAUGAUUCUGCAAAGGUGUUUCUUUUCGAUUUCCAAUGGAAAGGAAGAAC